UCAAUAUAUAACUUUUUUUUUUACCAAAUCGUAGAUAACCAAGAUUCAAUACAACAAUCGCCACCAAAAGGCUUUUCUUUUGGAACAAAACAAACCACCAGACUAAUGCAAAGAGUGGCGGGAACUGACACACCCCGUCCCGAAGGAGGGCAUGCUGGCCGUCACGUGAGAGUGACGUAACCAUUUGCACAGUACGGAAGCUUUAAGAUACAAUUUAAAUUGAUACACCCGAAGGUGAGUCCUAAUUUGUCCAAUCUGUCAGAACACCGUCGAAUUCCUCGUAGUCACCACACCUUUGUGAUUCUUGAACCUGGAGGGGCGCAAAACCAAAAUUGAGUGGGUCAGUAAAACAAUUCUUUUCCAAAUCCAAACAUUUCUCAAAACGUUGUAACCCCUCUCCGUAAAACCUGUAUACUUUCCCAGAAAUGUAAAAUAUAAAUAUACAUAUAUAUUCUCAAAACUUCAUUUUUACUAUCUCAACAUUUUUCUUUAUCAAUCAUGCCAUGCCAUGUCUAAUUCAACAGUUAAAUAUGGAUGCAUCAAUAAUAAUCAUAUCAGGUGCAAGAAAGUAAUCAACCGGAGGCCCUCUAAUAGCCCUGUACGGUUGAACCUAGAGCUCAAAAUCUAUCACUAUCACUCUACCGGAGUCACCUCUGUGACCCGUCCGGCCUUCUGCACACAAGUUACGCUCUAGUGCUUUUCUCAUCAAUCAUCUGUGCACAUAAUCUAAGGUCACCCACCAGUCGGAAUCUCACUAAACACUCUCGCGACUGGCCUGUCGUACCCACUCCGCGUGGACUGUACGACUAGCAUCUACUUGGAUCCAAGGCGAGCGUGCGAUGCGGUGAAUACUAUAAGCACUAAACCAUGGUGCAGGAUUUGAGCUCAAUAUAUAUCAACAUCAUCAUAACAGUAAUUAAAUACUCACCUGAUACUCACCUGUGCGUCCGCCGCACCAUUCAUUCAUAUGCAUCAUAUCUCAAUUCAUACUUUUCAUAUCAUUUCAUGCAUGGCAAUUCGAUUCACAUUUCUAUAUACUUUUCAUAUACUUUUAUGCAUGGCAUUUCAACUAAUAUAUCUCAUAUACUUUUAUACAUUUUCAUUAAAAGCAUAAUUUCAUGCAUUUUCAAUUUCUGGGAAACGGCAAGUAUAUAUGUAUACGGAAAACAAAACUGCCCACUCACCUGGAGUUCGCCCUACAACUCCCUAGCACAAUACGCCAAGGCGUCAUGACGAUCGGCGCCUAAAACAAUAAUUAAUUCCAACCUCAGAAUUCAUAGUGAUAGAAUAUAUAACUUAUAUAAAAUACGUCACUACGUAGUUCGAUCCGGAAGAUCUGCCACUCAGAUUUUAAAUCCAUAACUUCCAGAGGUCCACAAUAUACCUCUAGGACAACUUCCUAAAAUUUCAUUACCAUCCAACGGUCGGAUCUCCGUCAAUUUCCAAAACUAAGUGACGGUUAACAUUUUAUUUUAUGAACUUACAAUUCCAAUUCCGGAAGAUCCGUAAACUCGGAUUCCCAAUCCGUAAGUUCCAAUAAUCCUCAAAUAUUACGUAUUACAACGUAUCAAAGUUUGGUAACGAUCCAACGGUCGGAUCGUCAAUUCACAUUUUCACCAAAACUAUAAAACGUUAUUCGAACACCUAACCAACAAUCCUUAAUAACUUUCUCAUACGGUGCUCAAAUUGGGUAUAUGAAUAUACCACGGUGAUCUACUCGACGUCACGGACGUCGACAUAUUUUUAAAAUAAUUUUAUUUAUUUAUUUUUUUAACUGUAGCACCUUCUUCUUCCUUGGGUCGCCGGACUGGUUUUUCCGGCGGCCGUUUUCCGGGCAGUUUUUCAAAUUGUCAUAACUUUGUCAUUUCUCAACGAAAUCAAGUGAUUCAAAAACGAAAGUUGUAGCCCUUGAAGAGACAAAGAGAAUGGUACCUUUCCCAACACCUAGUUCGCCGUAGUUUGGCCGGAAACUGCCUCGAAAGCCUCGGAGGUCGCCGGAAAACUGGGUAUUUUUUCAAAUGAGUAUAACUUCUUCAAUACUCAACAAAAUUGAGUGAAACAAAAAGGAAAGUUGUAGUACUUGACGAGACGAAGAGAUUGAUACCUACCUCGACGCCUAACUCGCCGGGGAUUCGCCGGAAAAUGCCUCGAAAGCUCCGGCCAAACUUUGAACUUAUCGAUCUCCGUGUUCUUACGUCCAAAAACUUCCAACGAAGCACUCCGAGCUUCCUUGGAACCUCACUAAGCUCACUGUGAGCUUGGAUUGUCCUAAAACAAAGUCAAUUCGAAGAUCAUGAACAGUGCACUUUCACGGGAGUUUAGAAUCUAGGUUUUCCGAAGUAAAACUUACCUGAAAUUGGUGUCUACGUGAUCGUGGAGUCUCCAGGAGUUCGAUGGUGGUCUUAACUCCGUCGUUGGUGGAAGUUUAAGGUUGUUUUGUGGUUGGUUUGUUCGAACGGAGAAGAAGAGUGACAGAGAGAGAGAGAUUCGUGAGGGAGGAGAGAGAGUGAAUGACAGUAUACGGGAAUUGGGGAGGGAAUCAGGGUAGGAGGCCCUACUUAAAUCCCAAACACAACUUUAAACAUACUAAUGUAAAUCCAAUUGUUAAAUUUUCGCCCCUUAGUCCCGCU
rnacentral:lncRNA from 1 species